rnacentral:rRNA from 1 species
UACGUAGGGUGCAAGCGUUGUCCGGAAUUAUUGGGCGUAAAGAGCUCGUAGGCGGUUUGUUGCGUCGGCUGUGAAAUCCCGAGGCUCAACCUCGGGUCUGCAGUCGAUACGAGCAAACUAGAGUGUUGCAGGGGAGACUGGAAUUCCUGGUGUAGCGGUGAAAUGCGCAGAUAUCAGGAGGAACACCGGUGGCGAAGGCGGGGUCUCUGGGCAACAACUGACGCUGGAGGAGCGAAAGCGUGGGGAGCAAACAGG